rnacentral:lncRNA from 1 species
GUUAAUGUUAAUACAAAUAACAAAAAUGGGAACUUUUCAAAAAUAAAGGAGGAGCAGGGCUAAGAAAUCAAUUGUCCUGUCCCAAAAGCACCUGACUUUUGAUACCUUUUAUGAAAUUCUCCAUCAAUUAAAUCUUUUACAAAAAUUCAUUAUAACAAAAAAAAAAGAAGGGUGUGGUAUGAUUGCCAAUGAGACAACUCUCCACAAGAGACCAAAAUGACACAGAAAUUAACAACUAUAGGUUACUGUACGGCUUUCAACAAUGAGCAAAGCCCAUACCGCUAUAAAAGGCCCCGAAACGCAAUGUAAAACAAUUCAAACGAGAAAACUAACGGCCUUAUAUAUGUACAAAAAAAUGAACGAAAUAAAAAUAUGUAAGGCUUAGACAUAAACAAACGACAACCACUGAAUCACAGGCUCCUGACUUGAAUGUUCUUAAUAUACUAAAUGUAUGUUCAUAUUGAAAUUAAUAGAAAACAAAAAAAAUGGGAAUUUGGCAAAUAAAGGAGGGAUAAAAAAAACACACAUUUUCCUGUCCCCAAGUACCUAUGCCUUUUGAUACUUUGCCUGAAAUUCUCCAGUUAUUACAUCUUUUGCAAAAUUCUUCCUACAACACUUUACAUACUUUCAACCAUGCUCUGAUUGCCCGCG